CUCCUGGAAACGGGUGGUAAUGCCGGAUGCUCCGCCCCCUCGCAUGGGGGGUCGGGAAGGCUUUUGCGGAAUGGGAUGGGGUCGCGUCCUAUCAGCUUGUUGGCGGGGCGACGGCCCACCAAGGCUUCGACGGGUAGCCGGCCUGAGAGGGCGACCGGCCACAUUGGGACUGAGAUACGGCCCAGACUCCUACGGGAGGCAGCAGUGGGGAAUAUUGCACAAUGGGGGGAACCCUGAUGCAGCGACGCCGCGUGCGGGAUGGAGGCCUUCGGGUCGUGAACCGCUUUUGAUUGGGAGCAAGCGUGAGUGAGUGUACCUUUCGAAUAAGCACCGGCUAACUACGUGCCAGCAGCCGCGGUAAUACGUAGGGUGCAAGCGUUGUCCGGAAUCAUUGGGCGUAAAGGGCUCGUAGGCGGUUCGUCGCGUCCGGUGUGAAAGCCCAUCGCUUAACGGUGGGGUCUGCGCCGGGGUACGGGCGGGCUUGAGUGCGGCAGGGGAGGCUGGAAUUCCCGGUGUAACGGUGGAAUGUGUAGAUAUCGGGAAGAACACC
rnacentral:rRNA from 1 species